AACGCUGGCGGCAGGCCUAACACAUGCAAGUCGAACGGUAACAGGAAGCAGCUUGCUGUUUCGCUGACGAGUGGCGGACGGGUGAGUAAUGUCUGGGAAACUGCCUGAUGGAGGGGGAUAACUACUGGAAACGGUAGCUAAUACCGCAUAACGUCGCAAGACCAAAGAGGGGGACCUUCGGGCCUCUUGCCAUCGGAUGUGCCCAGAUGGGAUUAGCUAGUAGGUGGGGUAACGGCUCACCUAGGCGACGAUCCCUAGCUGGUCUGAGAGGAUGACCAGCCACACUGGAACUGAGACACGGUCCAGACUCCUACGGGAGGCAGCAGUGGGGAAUAUUGCACAAUGGGCGCAAGCCUGAUGCAGCCAUGCCGCGUGUAUGAAGAAGGCCUUCGGGUUGUAAAGUACUUUCAGCGGGGAGGAAGGGAGUAAAGUUAAUACCUUUGCUCAUUGACGUUACCCGCAGAAGAAGCACCGGCUAACUCCGUGCCAGCAGCCGCGGUAAUACGGAGGGUGCAAGCGUUAAUCGGAAUUACUGGGCGUAAAGCGCACGCAGGCGGUUUGUUAAGUCAGAUGUGAAAUCCCCGGGCUCAACCUGGGAACUGCAUCUGAUACUGGCAAGCUUGAGUCUCGUAGAGGGGGGUAGAAUUCCAGGUGUAGCGGUGAAAUGCGUAGAGAUCUGGAGGAAUACCGGUGGCGAAGGCGGCCCCCUGGACGAAGACUGACGCUCAGGUGCGAAAGCGUGGGGAGCAAACAGGAUU
rnacentral:rRNA from 1 species